rnacentral:rRNA from 1 species
AGAGUUUGAUCAUGGCUCAGAAACGAACGCUGGCGGCAGGCCUAACACAUGCAAGUCGAACGCCCCGCAAGGGGAGUGGCAGACGGGUGAGUAACACGUGGGAACAUACCCUUUGGUUCGGAAAUAACUCAGGGAAAACUUGAGCUAAUACCGGAUAAGUCCGCGAGGAGAAAGAUUUAUCGCCGAAGGAUUGGCCCGCGUCUGAUUAGCUAGUUGGUGAGGUAACGGCUCACCAAGGCGACGAUCAGUAGCUGGUCUGAGAGGAUGACCAGCCACAUUGGGACUGAGACACGGCCCAAACUCCUACGGGAGGCAGCAGUGGGGAAUAUUGGACAAUGGGCGCAAGCCUGAUCCAGCCAUGCCGCGUGAGUGAUGAAGGCCUUAGGGUUGUAAAGCUCUUUUACUCGGGAAGAUAAUGACGGUACCGAGAGAAUAAGCCCCGGCUAACUUCGUGCCAGCAGCCGCGGUAAUACGAAGGGGGCUAGCGUUGUUCGGAUUUACUGGGCGUAAAGCGCACGUAGGCGGAUUUUUAAGUCAGGGGUGAAAUCCCGGGGCUCAACCUCGGAACUGCCUUUGAUACUGGAGAUCUUGAGUUCGGGAGAGGUGAGUGGAACUGCGAGUGUAGAGGUGAAAUUCGUAGAUAUUUCGCAAGAAACACCAGUGGCGAAGGCGGCUCACUGGCCCGAUACUGACGCUGAGGUGCGAAAGCGUGGGGAGCAAACAGGAUUAGAUACCCCGGUAGUCC